UACAGCGGAUGAUCAAAAUUUUUUUCCCAGAAAUCUGUACAUAUUUACGAAAGUCCACUUGGGGACAAUUUUCUAUCGAAAUGGAUAGAGCCAAAAAAGCAAGCAGAAAAGGAGAAACUCACACUGGAGAAGAAUAACCAGAACUUCAAAGAAGUCUCUGAGAGACUAAAGAACUUAGAAAGUAUCCUGGAACCUCAUAUGAAAGUGAAAAAGUGGAAAUGGAAGAAAAUGCUAUGCAAAUACAGAGCAUUGCUAAUACACAUAAUUAGUGAGGCGCAGCAAAUGAUGAAGCCAGAUGUGGAACUCAUCCAGAAUGUGAGAAGAACAUUAACAAGGUAUACUUCUCUCUCAGCGAUGGAACCCCUCACACUGGUUUUAGAGCCAUACUAUUUCACUGUGUUGGCAGUUUUUAAAAUGUAUUCCAAGACGAGGCACUGAAGGAGAGAAGAGUCUAAGGGAAAAGAACUCACUGGGUCAGGAUAUAAACCAUUUUCCAUUUUGAUGCCUUCUGAGAAGCCUUACAAAGCUUAUUUCUAUUGGAGAUGACGUUCCCUCAUGUCUGCCUGUCUGUUGUACUAAACGAUUUCCAUAGAAUCCCUUCUCGAUCUAUCAUAUUUCUUUUGGAAAUCAAAGCCAAGCAGUCUGAGCCCGACACAGCUGUGUCAAUGACUCCUGGAAGGGCUGCUCUCUGUGCAUUCAGGGGCAUGGUGGGAAAAGAGAAGGCUAUUUUAUUGAUAUUCAAACACAGACAGCAUUAAGAAUUAAAGAGACUUUUCAUUAAGAUCUGUGUUAAGAAAUAAAACCUUCCUUGGAGUAGGAACA
rnacentral:lncRNA from 1 species